rnacentral:rRNA from 1 species
UACAGAGGGUGCGAGCGUUAAUCGGAAUUACUGGGCGUAAAGCGUGCGCAGGCGGUUAUGUAAGACAGUUGUGAAAUCCCCGGGCUCAACUUGGGAAUUGCAUCUGUGACUGCAUAGCUAGAGUACGGUAGAGGGGGAUGGAAUUCCGCGUGUAGCAGUGAAAUGCGUAGAUAUGCGGAGGAACACCGAUGGCGAAGGCAAUCCCCCUGGACCUGUACUGACGCUCAUGCACGAAAGCGUGGGGAGCAAACAGG